rnacentral:rRNA from 1 species
AUUGAACGCUGGCGGCAGGCUUAACACAUGCAAGUCGAGCGGAGCGAGGGUGCUUGCACCUUAGCUUAGCGGCGGACGGGUGAGUAAUGCUUAGGAAUCUGCCUAUUAGUGGGGGACAACAUUCCGAAAGGAAUGCUAAUACCGCAUACGCCAUACGGUGGAAAGCAGGGGAUCUUCGGACCUUGCGCUAAUAGAUGAGCCUAAGUCGGAUUAGCUAGUUGGUGGGGUAAAGGCCUACCAAGGCGACGAUCUGUAGCGGGUCUGAGAGGAUGAUCCGCCACACUGGGACUGAGACACGGCCCAGACUCCUACGGGAGGCAGCAGUGGGGAAUAUUGGACAAUGGGCGGAAGCCUGAUCCAGCCAUGCCGCGUGUGUGAAGAAGGCCUUUUGGUUGUAAAGCACUUUAAGCGAGGAGGAGGCUACUUAGAUUAAUACUCUGGGGUAGUGGACGUUACUCGCAGAAUAAGCACCGGCUAACUCUGUGCCAGCCGCCGCGGUAA